GAUGGACGCUGGCGGCGUGCUUAACACAUGCAAGUCGAACGGUGAAGGCGGAGCUUGCUCUGCUGGAUCAGUGGCGAACGGGUGAGUAACACGUGAGCAAUCUGCCCCUGACUCUGGGAUACGCGCUGGAAACGGCGUCUAAUACUGGAUACGAGCUGCGAAGGCAUCUUCAGCAGCUGGAAAGAACUUCGGUCAGGGAUGAGCUCGCGGCCUAUCAGCUUGUUGGUGAGGUAACGGCUCACCAAGGCGUCGACGGGUAGCCGGUCUGAGAGGGUGACCGGCCACACUGGGACUGAGACACGGCCCAGACUCCUACGGGAGGCAGCAGUGGGGAAUAUUGCACAAUGGGCGAAAGCCUGAUGCAGCAACGCCGCGUGAGGGACGACGGCCUUCGGGUUGUAAACCUCUUUUAGCAGGGAAGAAGCGAAAGUGACGGUACCUGCAGAAAAAGCGCCGGCUAACUACGUG
rnacentral:rRNA from 1 species